rnacentral:rRNA from 1 species
UACGAAGGGUGCAAGCGUUACUCGGAAUUACUGGGCGUAAAGCGUGCGUAGGUGGUGAUUUAAGUCCGUUGUGAAAGCCCUGGGCUCAACCUGGGAAUUGCAGUGGAUACUGGGUCACUAGAAUGUGGUAGAGGGUAGCGGAAUUCCUGGUGUAGCAGUGAAAUGCGUAGAGAUCAGGAGGAACAUCCGUGGCGAAGGCGGCUACCUGGACCAACAUUGACACUGAGGCACGAAAGCGUGGGGAGCAAAC